rnacentral:rRNA from 1 species
CUACGGGUGGCACCAGUCGAGAUCCAUCGCAAUGGGGGAAACCCGGACAAUGCGACGCCGCGUGGAGGAUGAAGGCCUUAGGGUUGUAAACUCCUGUCAAGAGGGAAUAAGCAAGUGAAGGUACCUCUAGAGGAAGGGGCGGCUAAUUCCGUGCCAGCAGCCGCGGUAACACGGAAGCCCCGAGCGUUGUUCGGAUUCAUUGGGCGUAAAGGGUGCGUAGGCGGCGCGGAAAGUCCGGCGUGAAAGGCAGAGGCUCAACCUCUGGACUGCGUUGGAUACUUCCGUGCUUGAGGACUGGAGGGGAGACUGGAAUUCACGGUGUAGCAGUGAAAUGCGUAGAUAUCGUGAGGAAGACCGGUGGCGAAGGCGAGUCUCUGGACAGAUCCUGACGCUGAGGCACGAAGGCUGGGGGAGCGAACAGGAUUAGAUACCCUGGUAGUCCCAGCAGUAAACGAUGUGAGCUUGAUGUGGGGGGAUUCGACCCCUUCCGUGUCGAAGCUAACGCGAUAAGCUCACCGCCUGAGGAGUACGGCCGCAAGGCUAAAACUCAAAGAAAUUGACGGGGACCCGCACAAGCGGUGGAGUAUGUGGCUUAAUUCGAUGCAACGCGAAGAACCUUACCUGGCCUUGUCAUGCAUUGUGUCGUCGGUGAAAGCCGGCUAGUCCUGGAAACAGGACGCUUUGCACAGGUGCUGCAUGGCUGUCGUCAGCUCGUGUCGUGAGAUGUUGGGUUAAGUCCCGCAACGAGCGCAACCCUUGUGGUCAGUUACUAACCGGCUUAGCCGGAGGACUCUGGCCAGACUGCCCUGUCAAACGGGGAGGAAGGUGGGGACGACGUCAAGUCAGUAUGGCCCUUAUGGCCAGGGCUGCACACGUACUACAAUGCCCGGUACAAUGUGAACCGAAACCGCGAGGUGGAGGAAAUCGCUCUUGAAAACCGGGCCCAGUUCGGAUUGGAGUCUGCAACUCGACUCCAUGAAGUCGGAAUCGCUAGUAAUGGCGUAUCGGCAACGACGCCGUGAAUACGUUCCCGGGUCUUGUACACACCGCCCGUCACAUCAUGGAAGUCUCCUGUACCCGAAGCACGUGCGCCAACACUUUUAGGAGGCAGCGUUCGAAGGUAUGGGAGGUAACUG